rnacentral:rRNA from 1 species
AUGAUGGUGAUACUCUAUCUGGAUUUGAAAGAUGUCAAUUGGGGAAAAUAUGCUAUUGAUGAGAUAAUAAGCGGUGCAAGGAAACUGAACAGGGAUAAUCCACUUCUUAACAUCACACUACAUGGGUGCCCUGCUCUGCUUGAGAUUCGUUAUUUCGACUCGGUGGACACUGGUUUCAUUCAACUAGAUCCAAAAGCUUUACCAAGGAUCAAGCACUACAAUAAACAAAUUCUAAGUGCACUGGUGAAGGCAAACAGCAGAGUAGAUGGCGGGCGUAUUACAUUUGGAAUAAUGAAGAUAUAUGUUUCAGUAAAAGGAUCGAUCAAGCAUGCUGAGAACUUACCUUACGAUUUAACAAAAGAUUCAUGCAUGAAGGGGAGGAAUUGGAUAUUUGAAGAACUAGCACAGCGGGCUGAAGGUAGGAUCGAUAGAUCAAUGAAGUUACAUGCAUAUCUCGUGAAUGAAACCAGUCUGACUGAGGAAAGGAAGAAAAAACUAUUUCAGACACAUAGAUCAGUAGAGAAAUUGAUGUUGACAGUUGGAACAGUUAAGAUUCUGCGUUAUAUUCAGAAAAACGAGGUAGAGGGGGGUGGUUUGGUAAAUGAAACUGUUUCUUGUCUGGACAAUGUUUUGGCUGGGUCCGUGAAAACUUUGCGAAGAGUACCAAGAGGAAGGCAAGUCCAAGUUUAG